GGCCUCGUAGCUCAGCUGGUAGAGCAUGCGCUGGUCAAAAGCGUAGGCGGCGUCCAUUUGUGGGUUCGAAUCUCACCGAGGCUG
rnacentral:tRNA from 1 species